AGCGAACGCUGGCGGCAGGCCUAACACAUGCAAGUCGAACGAAGCCUUCGGGGUUAGUGGCGGACGGGUGAGUAACACGUGGGAACGUACCUUUUGGUUCGGAACAACUCAGGGAAACUUGAGCUAAUACCGGAUGAGCCCUUAGGGGGAAAGAUUUAUCGCCGAAAGAGCGGCCCGCGUGAGAUUAGCUAGUUGGUGAGGUAAAGGCUCACCAAGGCAACGAUCUAUAGCUGGUCUGAGAGGAUGAGCAGCCACACUGGGACUGAGACACGGCCCAGACUCCUACGGGAGGCAGCAGGGGAGAAUCUUGCGCAAUGGGCGAAAGCCUGACGCAGCCAUGCCGCGUGAAUGAUGAAGGUCUUAGGAUUGUAAAAUUCUUUUACCAGGGACGAUAAUGACGGUACCUGGAGAAAAAGCCCCGGCUAACUUCGUGCCAGCCGCCGCAGUAAUAC
rnacentral:rRNA from 1 species